rnacentral:rRNA from 1 species
CUCCUCCUUUUUUCAUCAGUUUGUGAUAUUUCACAAUGGUUUGAACCCUGAUGCAGCGACGCCGCGUGGGUGAAGAAGCGCCUCGGCGCGUAAAGCCCUGUCAGCAGGGAAGAAAAUGACGGUACCUGAAGAAGAAGCCCCGGCUAACUACGUGCCAGCAGCCGCGGUAAUACGUAGGGGGCAAGCGUUAUCCUUAUUUACUGUUUGUAAAUGUGGCGCAGACGGCGAUGCAAUCCAUUAGUUAAAUCCCGUGGCCCAACCCCGGGACUGCUCUUGGAACUGCGUGGCUGGAGUGCAGGAGGGGG